rnacentral:rRNA from 1 species
GACGAACGCUGGCGGCAUGCUUAACACAUGCAAGUCGAACGGAAAGGCCCUGCUUUUGUGGGGUGCUCGAGUGGCGAACGGGUGAGUAACACGUGAGUAACCUGCCCUUGACUUUGGGAUAACUUCAGGAAACUGGGGCUAAUACCGGAUAGGAGCUCCUGCUGCAUGGUGGGGGUUGGAAAGUUUCGGCGGUUGGGGAUGGACUCGCGGCUUAUCAGCUUGUUGGUGGGGUAGUGGCUUACCAAGGCUUUGACGGGUAGCCGGCCUGAGAGGGUGACCGGCCACAUUGGGUCUGAGAUACGGCCCAGACUCCUACGGGAGGCAGCAGUGGGGAAUAUUGCACAAUGGGCGGAAGCCUGAUGCAGCAACGCCGCGUGCGGGAUGGCGGCCUUCGGGUGGUAAACCGCUUUCGCCUGUGACGAAGCGUGAGUGACGGUAAUGGGUAAAGAAGCACCGGCUAACUACGU